rnacentral:tRNA from 1 species
GCCGGUGUAGCUCAGCCUGGCAGAGCAGCGGCCUUUUAAGCCGAGGGUCCGGGGUUCGAAUCCCCGCGCCGGCA